rnacentral:rRNA from 1 species
CACGUAGGGCGCAAGCGUUGUCCGGAAUUAUUGGGCGUAAAGAGCUCGUAGGCGGUCUGUUGCGUCCGCUGUGAAAACUCGGGGCUUAACCCCGAGCCUGCAGUGGAUACGGGCAGACUAGAGGUAGGUAGGGGAGAAUGGAAUUCCCGGUGUAGCGGUGAAAUGCGCAGAUAUCGGGAGGAACACCGGUGGCGAAGGCGGUCU